rnacentral:misc_RNA from 1 species
GAUGAAGAACGCAGCGAAAUGCGAUAAGUAAUGUGAAUUGCAGAAUUCAGUGAAUCAUCGAAUCUUUGAACGCACAUUGCGCCCGCCAGUAUUCUGGCGGGCAUGCCUGUCUGAGCGUCAUUUCAACCCUCAUGCCCCUAGGGCGUGGUGUUGGGGAUCGGCCAAAGCCCGCGAGGGACGGCCGGCCCCUAAAUCUAGUGGCGGACCCGUCGUGGCCUCCUCGGCGAAGUAGUGAUAUUCCGCAUCGGAGAGCGAUGAGCCCCUGCCGUUAAACCCCCAACUUUCCAAGGUUGACCUCAGAUCAGGUAGGAAUACCCGCUGAACUUAAGCAUAUCAAUAAGCGGAGGA